rnacentral:rRNA from 1 species
UACGAAGGGUGCUAGCGUUGUUCGGAAUUACUGGGCGUAAAGCGCACGUAGGCGGUCAUUUAAGUCAGGGGUGAAAUCCCAGAGCUCAACUCUGGAACUGCCUUUGAUACUGGGUGUCUUGAGUAUGGAAGAGGUGAGUGGAAUUCCGAGUGUAGAGGUGAAAUUCGUAGAUAUUCGGAAGAACACCAGUGGCGAAGGCGACUUACUGGACACAUAUUGACGCUGAGGUGCGAAAGCGUGGGGAGCAAACAGG